UGGGGAAUAUUUCACAAUGGGCGCAAGCCUGAUGCAGCCAUGCCGCGUGUAUGAAGAAGGCCUUCGGGUUGUAAAGUACUUUCAGCGGGGAGGAAGGGAGUAAAGUUAAUACCUUUGCUCAUUGACGUUACCCGCAGAAGAAGCACCGGCUAACUCCGUGCCAGCAGCCGCGGUAAUACGGAGGGUGCAAGCGUUAAUCGGAAUUACUGGGCGUAAAGCGCACGCAGGCGGUUUGUUAAGUCAGAUGUGAAAUCCCCGGGCUCAACCUGGGAACUGCAUCGGAUACUGGCAAGCUUGAGUCUCGUAGAGGGGGGUAGAAUUCCAGGUGUAGCGGUGAAAUGCGUAGAGAUCUGGAGGAAUACCGGUGGCGAAGGCGGCCCCCUGGACGAAGACUGACGCUGAGGUGCGAAAGCGUGGGGAGCAAACAGG
rnacentral:rRNA from 1 species